CAGGAAGUAGAACAUGGCUGCCACUUCCUGUGAGUGUCUGUGGAUUAGUGGCAUCAGAGACAGGACUCGCUCGGUGCUCGGCGGAGCCCGUCUGAGACGCUGAAUCAACCAUUGCAUGCAGCUCGGUUGUGCCCGCUGUGGCAGAUCAGCAGCACCAGCUUAUCACAGCCAGACUCUAUCUGCUUCCUAAAUGAAGUGGGUUGAUGAGCGAGUCGCAGAUAAACCUGCAAUCUGCGCAUACAAACAAACUGGCAACUUCAUCCACCGCCUCAGCCAGAUUCAACAGCAAUACAAGAAGAAGAAGAAGAAGAAGAAGCCAGCGUGACAUCAUCCCUCAUUCCCAGCUGAUGCCUCAUGUUUGUGAGGAUUUAGACGAGUGUAAUAAAGGCAAGAGGCUUCAUACGAGUCAAAUCAGCAGUGAUGUUCGGCUGAAGAUGGAAGACGCGCGCUGCUGACCAGACGACUCGAUGAUGGAGAAUCACUGCGUUAAGAUUCCUGAAAUGACUCAAGGAGGUACUGGUCCAAGGACGGGUCCGUUUCCUGACACUGACUGCAGUACAGCAGGAACCAAUGUGAAAGCUGAUAUAAUAUUAAUAAUAAUAAACACGGGCAGAGUUUGAGAAGCAUUUUUAAUCACAGAAAGAUGUUACAUGUCUUAAACGUACCUAAAGUCAAGUGCAACACAUGACACUUUGUUUAAAUACCUGUUAUUGGGUUGAACCUUUGGAGACGUGCGUCUGGAAGUUGCAGCUCAAGCCUCGUACGGCAGC